rnacentral:rRNA from 1 species
AAGUCGUAACAAGGUUUCCGUAGGUGAACCUGCGGAAGGAUCAUUAUUGAAAUAAACCUGAACAGGCUGUUGCUGGUCGACACAGACAUGUGCACGCUUGUCCGUCUUUAUUUUUCCAACUGUGCACAUAUUGUAGACCUGGAGAUUAUUUGAGGGAUGAUGGCUUCUUCCAGGUCUAUGUUAUAAUACAUUUUCACAACAAAUAACGAGUACUGGGGAUAGAAAAAAAAAAUAUACAACUUUCAGCAACGGAUCUCUUGGCUCUCGCAUCGAUGAAGAACGCAGCGAAAUGCGAUAAGUAAUGUGAAUUGCAGAAUUCAGUGAAUCAUCGAAUCUUUGAACGCAUCUUGCGCUCCUUGGUAUUCCGAGGAGCAUGCCUGUUUGAGUGUCAUCAAAAAGUUCUCAGACCACAUUGGUUCUUCUGGUGUGGCUUGGAUUUGGGGGUUCUGCAGGCUUUUUAAAGUCGGCUCUCCUGAAAAUGAUUAGCGGUAUCUUAGCAGAGACUACCUUUGGUGUGAUAAUUAUCUAUGCCUUGGUUGUGUAAAAUGCAUGAACUGCUUUCGAGUGAGUGUUGGUUGACAAAUUUGACCUCAAAUCAGGUAGGACUACCCGCUGAACUUAAGCAUAUCAAUAAGCGGAGGAAAAGAAACUAACAAGGAUUCCCCUAGUAACUGCGAGUGAAGCGGGAAAAGCUCAAAUUUAAAAUCUGGUGGUUGUUUUUGACCGUCCGAGUUGUAAUCUAGAGAAGUGUUACCUGUGCUGGACCAUGUACAAGUCUCCUGGAAUGGAGCAUCAUAGAGGGUGAGAAUCCCGUCUUUGACAUGGACUACCAGUGCAUCUUGGUGCGCUCUCGAAGAGUCGAGUUGUUUGGGAAUGCAGCUCAAAAUGGGUGGUAAAUGCCAUCUAAAGCUAAAUAUUGGCGAGAGACCGAUAGCGAACAAGUACCGUGAGGGAAAGAUGAAAAGAACUUUGGAAAGAGAGUUAAACAGUACGUGAAAUUGCUGAAAGGGAAACGCUUGAAGUCAGUCGCGUUGGCUAGAAAUCAGCCUUGCUUUUGCUUGGUGUACUUUCUUGUUGACGGGUCAGCAUCAGUUUUGACCAUUGGAUAAGGACUUUGGGAAUGUGGCAUCUCUGGAUGUGUUAUAGCCCAUUGUCGCAUACGGUGGUUGGGAUUGAGGAACUCAGCACGCCGCAAGGCAGGGUCUUCUGACCACGUUCGUGCUUAGGAUGCUGGCAUAAUGGCUUUAAUCGACC